AGAGAGGUGGAGCCACUGCCUGAGGUCAGGAAGCUGCAGGUAGCAGGGGAGCGGGUUGGCCCAGGCCUCUCUGGCUGCCAAGGCAGGAGCGGUCCCCGUGUGCCACCUGGGUGUUGCUGGACCUUGGACAGUGUGGCCAGAGGAUCCGGAAGGGGUGAGGAAACCGGGGCGUGGAGAGGCUGUGUUACUUGCUCAAGGUCACAUUACUAGCAAGUUCCAGAUCAAGAUGCAUCCCCAGGCAGUCUGGCUCCAGACUCCGUGCAUUUACCUGCAGAACCCCUCUCCAGCCAGCAUCUGACCUGUGGCCCAGGAGUGUGCACCCUCUGGCAGGUGAGGGCUUGGAGCAGAGACCUGGCCAUUACAGGAAGCAGCCUGGAGCUAUGGACAGAACGGAGAGAGUGGGGGCCAGCGGCGCUGCUGCCUUCAGACACCGGUUGAUGAACCGUCCCAUGUGGUCCUGCCCAGGGAGUGGAGCCCAGCGCACAAGGCCUGGCAGGUUCAGACUUGGGUUUUCACCAAAUGCCCUACUGGCCCUGGGGCGCUGGCUUGGCCGAUCAAGAUAUUGCAGAUAAACAGGCCUCACCUGGUGGUGGGGCUGUUGCAUGGGGAGGCGUCAGGCUUUGUCUGUUGCGGUGACUCAGGGCAGGUUAUCACCCGGCGGCAGCCUUCACACCUCAUGCCCGUGGGCUCCAGGAUAGUCCCAGGAAGCAUCUGCAUCUGAGGUUGGCCCAGACCCACCCAGUGAGCCCGGCUUCUUGUAGAUGCCUUAUAAAGGAGUGCUAUCUUCCUGCACGCUUUGGAGAUAGGGCUGGGGGCACUUCGGAGACAGGGCUGGUUCAGAGAUAGGGCUGGGAUAGAGAUGUGGGCAAUGGGCAAGAGAAAGCGUUCAACCAGCCCAGUGGGGUAGACCAAGGAAAGUGGCCGUUUUCUGUGGGCUUACUAUGUGGAUCUCACUGGACUAAACACCUUUGCAUCUGAUUUCUUAAUUUCACAGUUCUGAGGGGUCGUUGUUAUUAUCUCCAUUUCACAGAAGAGGAAGUUGAGGCUCCGAGAGGUGAAGUGACUUGGCCAAGGUUUCAUGGCUUUGAAAUGCAUCUGGGGUUUAAGUCCAGGUUGUUCCUUGGCCAUUGACCGACUGACCUCUAGAUAUGUAAGGCUGCUCUCUCAAUCCCCACUCAGAUCCUACUGACUCCACAACCCAAGGCUUUACUGCCCUGCCCUCACGGGUCACGGCUGUGUAUACCUUGGUGGCAUAGGUCAGCAGGCACCUUGGACAGACCUGCCCAAGGGAGGAUGAUCUACAGGGACAGUGGCAUUUGAGCAGCUCAGUUGUAGAGAGAUCUGCAGCUGGCAAUCGUCAACACGCUGAUCCAAUCAUAUAACGAAUCUCUGGCCACCAGGCCAAGCAUCAUUUUAGUUGAGAUAACUAAAUAAGAACAAAAUUGUAUGUUUUUAUCUAGCUUGGAAGUAGUGAUUAUUUUGUUUUCCAGCUCAUUUUUAGCCUCAUAAAAGUAGUUUAAAAAUUACCAUUGUUGUGCCAGGUGCAGUGGCUCAUGCCUGUAAUCCCAGCACUUUGGGAGGCUGAGGUGGGCGAAUCACGAGGUCAGGAGAUCGAGACCAGCCUGGCAGACAUGGUGAAACCCCGUCUCAACUAAAAAUACAAAAAAAAAUUAGCCAGGUCUAGUGGUGCAUGCCUGUAGUCCCAGCCACUUUGGAGGCUGAGGCAGGAGAAUCGCUUGAACCUGGGAGGCAGAGGUUGCAGUGAGCGGAGAUCGCGCCAUUGCACUCCAGCCUGGGGGACAGAGCAAGACUCCAUCUCAGAAAAAAAUUACCAUUGUUGUGUUUUUAUUUCUGCUAAGAGCUCCCCUUCCUGCCCCUCUGCAGACAGGCUGGCCAGGUGGCCGCUGGGCCUGUGUCUUUUGUUGCUUGUCUGUUUGGCCCUGGUAGAGGGUGGCAUAGGCUGGGCCCAGAUGAAGGCCUUACCAAAUGGAGGGUCUGAACUUGGAUGCCGGGAAGUUUUCUGGAAGGGCUUCCUGGGCUCAGCCAGGCACAUUUCCCAGGAGGGCCCCAUUCUGUGGGGUGGGCUGGGUAGCUAGCAGGUGGCUAGAUCCUGGGCUGCACUGGGGAGGCAGAGGCCAGGCCAAGCCUCAGUGGCUGCCCAGUCUUCAGUGAGAACCCAGCUUCUUAGCCUAGUGUUCCAGGCUCUUGUUUAUCAGGUCCUUGCCCCUACCUCCAGUUUCCUCCCCUGCCCUGUCUUCCUUGCCCCCUCCAGCCCUGGACCACCCGGCGAUCCCGCUGUCUCACACCUCCAUGCCUUCUCACAGUUUGUUUGCUCUGCUAGGAUUCCCUUUCCUUAUUUGCAGGGAUAACUUAUGUGAAAGAGCUCAGCACUAAGUUAAACUCAUCAUUGGUGCUUUAAAAGCUCACCUUCCUCCUCCCUCCCUCUCCCUUCUUCCAUCCCUCUCUCCUGCCUUCCUUCUGUGUGUGGAAACAUCACCCUCCCUGGUCUAGGGGGAACUCUUAGUAUGAUGGAAGAAGCACAGAAGCAAGCCUGAGAAGCCUCAAGUCUAGACAGAUGCCAGAAACGUCUGAGGCCCUCUGUUGAGGCAGUUGGUUGGGUUUGACCAUGCAGGAUCCAGGAUCCAGGAACCCUGAGAUCCUUCCCUGCCUACUCUUAGUCCACCUGUUAUGGGCGAGGCUCCUCCCUCUUAGAGGUGGAUCAUGUGACCUGCCUAAGCCAACCUGCUCAUUGUUUGGUUGCGUCAGAGCCCAUGGGACAUGAUGAGAUGCUACUGGGGCUGCUAGGACAGACCCAAGCGCUCCUUGUCCUGGACUUGAGUCUGAACAUGGUUUUCCAGCCUCCUCUCCACACUGUGAGCUCUCCACUGCCUCCCAGUAAAUGCCCCUUGAGCACCAGGAAGUCAAAUCGAUUCUGUUUGCAAUCAAGCAGCUCUAAGGGAGACACCCCUCAAAUCGCAAAUGUCCACUCCCAACUCUUGAGACAGAGGCACCCAUGUCUCUCCAGCUGUAGCCGCCCAGAACUGAGAGCCAGGGCACCAACAGGGAGGAAACAGAUAAACAAAAUGUGGUUUCCACAUACAAAGAGAUACUCUUCAGCCUUGAGAAGGAAGGAAAUUCUGAUACACGCUGCAUCAUGGAUGAACCUAGAAGAUAGUAUGCUGGGUGAAAUAAGCCAGAUGCAAAAAGACAAAUACUGUAUGAUUUCCUCUUACAUGAGGUACCUAGAGUAGUCAAAUUCAUAGAGACGAGGCAGAAUGGUAUUACCAGGGUAGUGGUGAUAGUGCCUGGAGGAAGGGUAGUGCCCUAUUUUGGAUCAGCUGAUUCAGUCCCUGAGUGGCACUCAUUGUCCAGCUCCAGGAGUUGCCUGGGCCUAGCAGCUGGGACUUUGCCCCGGGGGCUUCCUAGCUCCACAUCUAAUCCUUUCUGUUGAGACUUGGGAGCGGGGAUGGAGGGACUACAUCUGCUAUGCUGGCACCAUGAGCAGAACCACCUUCCAAACUGAAGGGUCCUCAGGUGCCCAGAAGUGAAUUCGUAAGUGGGGAAAAAAGGAGGCCCCAAAGCUGGCAAGAGGCAGUUGGCAGGCAUGGGGGCUGGCCUUUGUGGCCGCGCCUGGCCUUCCCAGCAGGAAGGGAUGAGGGGGGUUCCUGGGGAGAGGAGUGGGGAGAGCGGCUUGGACUGGAUGAAUCUAGGCUUGAAUAUAUCUUUGCCACUCAUCACCUGUGAGAGCUUGGCAGGUCACCUUACUUCUCUGAGCCUUGGUUUCCUCAUCUGUAAAAUGGGAAUAAUCCUACAUGCUUUCUGGAAUGACUGUGAAGAUUAAACACUAUAAAUCCUGUGA